rnacentral:tRNA from 1 species
CUAAUAUGACAGAAUAAUGUAAUAAAUUUAAAAUUUAAAUAUGAGUAACUUCUUUUAGUAA